rnacentral:rRNA from 1 species
UAAGGACAAACAAUUAAUUUAGGAUAAAAGACUAGGAUUUCUUAAAAAUAUUUGAUUGGAGUAAUUACAUUGAAAAUCAGGUUUGCGAUCCAUAGGAUCGGGACGCCGUUGGCGUCCCCUUUAUCCACCCUUACCUGCCAAAAAGGGGAAGGGAACCGGAAGAAAAAAGAUUUUUUCUUCCGGUCCCCUUUUUGGCGUGGGGGUGAUAAAAACUGGAAACUGAAUCAUCUUAGUACCAGAAUAAAAAAUCAACCGAGAUCCCGAAAGUAGUGAGAACGAAAAUGGGGUAAUUUUAUCGAACAAAGAGGGUAAGUAUUUUAAGUCCCGUAGAUAAAGCGUUUUAGAAAAUGGAGUGGGCCCGGGCCCGCCAUAUUUUUAUAUGGCGGGAUCCAACGGAUCCCCAAUGAAAUAGGCGCCAUUUUGCGCCGGGGCCCCGCCCUCUUCUUAAAAAAAAAAGAAAUACCGAUAGUGAAAUAGUACUGUGAAGGAAAGUUGAAAGAGAGUUGAAAUAGAGCCGGAAAUCCUAAAAAAAAAAGCAGUAGGCCUAUAGAGCCUGCGUACCUUUUGCAUAAGUGGUUCGCAAGUUUUUAAUUUGGCAAACUUGAACCGUAAGGUUGAGGUUUUACGAAAGUGAAAAAAGUCAAAUGAACCCGAAACCAAGUGAUCUACCCCUGAUCUGGCGCGGGCGAAAAAGGGUCCAAAAGGGCCCCGUGCCGCGGCCUAACCGGUGGAUGUGGCAAAAUCCUCGGAUGAAUUGGGGGUAGUGGUGAUACGCCAAUCGCACUUGGAUAUAGCUGGUUUUCUGCGAAAACUAUCUAAGUAGUGCCGGCACUCCCGUGUUUUUGCCGAGUCAGACAUAGGACGAAAAGGCCCUAUGUCUAAUGGGAAACAACCCUAAUCAUUAGUUAAGGACAUUAAAAA